rfam:Homo sapiens chromosome 19 genomic contig, GRCh38 reference assembly alternate locus group ALT_REF_LOCI_9.
GCCGGGUGUGGUGGCUCAUGCCUGUAAUCCCAACACUUUGGGAGGCCGAGGCAGGAGGAUCACCUGAGGUCAGGAGUUCGAGACCAGCCUGGCCAACAUGGUGAAACCCUGUCUCUA